AGUCAUAAGACUUGGCAGCAGUCCUGGGCGCCAUCUUGGGGCCUCGGCCACACCCGCUCCUCACAAAAGGCUGGUGAUAAAUAUGAAUGAUUGUGGUUUGGAUAUGCUUUUCCAGAAAGUGGCACCAUUUGGAGGUGUGGCCUUGUUGGAGGAAGUGUGUCACUAUGGGGAUGGGCUUUAAGACCCUCAUCCUAGCUACCUGCAAGCCAGUCUUUUCCUAACAGCCUUCAGAACAAGAGGUGGGACUCUCAGCUCCUCCUGCACCAUGUCUUCCUAAACACUGCCAUGAUCCUGCCUUGAUGAUAAUGGACUACACCUCUGAACCUAGAAGCCAUCUCCAAUUGAAUGUUGUCCUUAUAAGAGUUACCUUGGUCUUGGUGUCUGUUCACAGCAGUAAAACCCUAAGACAGCUACUUAUCAGUCCAUGAGCUCUGAGAGGAAGACUCGAUGAAGACAUCCCAUUUAGGACUGAGUGCUCCAAGAUUUCUUACUCUCUGCAAACUUUCCAGUCUCUGUGUUAAGUCCCAUCUACUAUAAGAAGCUUCUCUGAUGAUGGCUGAGCGAGGUCCUGAUCUACAGCUACAGCAGAAUGCCACUAGUAAUCCUUGUAUUCUUUUUACCAUUAGAGCUGUAGUAUUUGGUUUCCUCCUAGGGCUGUGGCCUACCUAGUGUUUCAUAGCCACCUCAUCAAUGUCAAUCAGUUCUGAGAUUCAUCUCAUUGAGUUGCUUUUAAAUCCAAUUCAAUAAAUGGUUGGUUGCGCCC
rnacentral:lncRNA from 1 species